rnacentral:rRNA from 1 species
AGGGUUUGAUCAUGGCUCAGAACGAACGUUAGCGGCACGCUUAACACAUGCAAGUCGAACGAGAAGCCCUUCGGGGUGGACAGUGGCGCACGGGUGAGGAACACGUAGAUAAUCUACCCCCGAGUGGUGGAUAACGUUUCGAAAGAGACGCUAAUACAGCAUAACACCACGGCCCUUCGGGGUUUUGGCCAAAGCGGAGGACUUCUUCGGAGGCUUCGCGCUUGGGGAUGAGUCUGCGGCCCAUCAGUUAGUUGGUAGUGUAAAGGACUACCAAGGCUAAGACGGGUAGUUGGUCUGAGAGGAUGGACAGCCACACUGGAACUGAGACACGGUCCAGACUCCUACGGGAGGCAGCAGUGGGGAAUCUUGCGCAAUGGGCGAAAGCCUGACGCAGCGAUGCCGCGUGAGCGAUGAAGGCCUUCGGGUUGUAAAGCUCUGUGGAUGGAGACGAAUAAGUGGUAGUUAAUACCUGCCAUGAUGACGGUAUCCAUUUAGCAAGCACCGGCUAACUCUGUGCCAGCAGCCGCGGUAAGACAGAGGGUGCAAACGUUGUUCGGAAUUACUGGGCGUAAAGCGCGUGUAGGCGGCUUUGUGUGUCGGAUGUGAAAUCCCGUGGCUCAACCAUGGAAGUGCAUCCGAAACUGCAAGGCUAGAGUAUCGGAGAGGAAGGUGGAAUGCUUGGUGUAGAGGUGAAAUUCGUAGAUAUCAAGCGGAACACCGGUGGCGAAGGCGGCCUUCUGGACGAUUACUGACGCUGAGACGCGAAAGCGUGGGUAGCAAACAGGAUUAGAUACCCUGGUAGUCCACGCCGUAAACGAUGAGUGCUAGGUGUCAGAGGUUUUGACCCUUCUGGUGCCGUAGUUAACGCGUUAAGCACUCCGCCUGGGGAGUACGGCCGCAAGGCU